AGGAGAUGAGGAGGAGAGACACCGACAGCAGGUUUAACAGAUAUAACUACAAUAUAAAGCAAAAAUGAACUACAGCACACAUUGUAAUGGGGUUAGGAUUCCAAUAACACCACAUGAAUCAGGCAUAUACACUGUUACUAAUGCAAACUAUUUAAAUGUAAAAUUUGUCUUCUAUGGAUUGGCACACGCUUGUAUCCAGAGGCCCUUCUCAAGGACCGAGAAGUGGCAGCUUGGUGACUGGAUCCCCAAACUAUGGUCUAAAAAUGUCAUUUAAAAGUCGAAAAUUUAAGUUGUUUUAAUCAUUUCAUAUCUGUAUGUGAUAAUAAAGGUUAUAUUUUAAACUAAAAUUUCCUUUAGUUAUUAAUAGAGGUCAAAGCACUGAUAAUUGAUUGCUGAAACUAUCGGCUUUUGGCAAAAAUUAUUACGAGAGCGGCCUCUAGAGGCGAAUCACUGAUUCCACGUGCUGCACGGAGAGCGCUAUAUUAAAUUUGUUAUUCAUAAUUUAUUCAUUAUAAUGUUAUUUAUUAAUUAAUAUAUUCAUAUUUAUUUCCUUGCACAUUUUCAUGGUUCAGUAGUGUUUUUUUUUUUUUUUCUGUAAUAAAGUUCAAUACUAUUUAGCAUGAAGUGUUUGUUUUAUUCAGUAUCCAUUUGAACAGUUUGAUUAAUCGGUUAUCGGCAAGUAAGAUUCGACCUAGCUUUCGGCAAAAUCCAAUAUCGGUCGAUCUCUAGUUAUUAGCGUAGCCUAAUUUGUUAGCUUUACCCACCAAUCAUAUGGAUAAGUAAGUAAAUGUUUUGAUUUAAAUACAAUAAAUAUGAAAAAAAUGUCAUUAUGAUAGUUAUAAUGCUCUGUGAAUAGGUUAUAUAUCUCUUGCAAUGUAAUACUCAUUUGUCUGUAUGGUGCAUAACAAAAUAAUAAACUAAUAAACUAAAUAAUAAAAUCUCCACAAUAAUAUUUAUAGCCACUAUGGACAAUGUAAUUUUCUGUUACAGACUGACCCCCUAUUAAAGAAAGCAGAAAUUACGUGGCCCUCACAGAAAAAGGUUUGAAAAUCCAUAAAAUAGAGCUUUUUUUCCUUUUUUCUAAAACAUCACUAAAUAACAGACUAAGGAUCAGCACUGAAAUCUCUGUGGAUGCUUACUGGAAUCCUCACCCAUUAUCAAAGAAUGUAGUCCAAAUGCAUAAUAUCAUUAUUAUUGUGCAUCGACAUGAAUGUACAACAAAGACAUAAAACCCACUUAGAACCUUCAAAUCAAUAAAAAAAAAAAAAAACCACAGAUUUAGAAAUCAGGAUUAUUUCCGUCUCAUGCAAUGCUGAAGCCAAACCAAAAGCAACAUGUGGGGAAAAAAAGGAAAAGAACCGCAAAGGAAGCUGCAGUAAGUCAUGUGAAUGAAGUAUGGGGUUUGCAGAUUAUAGAACUUUUAUACUGUACAAGAGGCACAUUUACAGUAAAAAUGCUUUACACACUCAUCAGGAAGGGUAUUGACCCCCUACUACACGUGUCCUUCACUGUCUCAUGGCCCCUUUGUAUAGCAUUAAAGGUGUUAUGAUUGGUGGUCAGUCUGGAUUAGGAUUAAUAUCACUACGUUCUGUUACACAGGAUCACAUUUACUACAAUGUUAGGCUCUUGAAAUGAAUAAUAAAUGUGACUAGCGCUUUCUGAUCCGAACCACCCCUGAAUGCCAGGCAGAAUGGGGAAAAAAAGCCUAUUUGAGAUGCUUUUAGUGCGAUUGUAAUGAUAGAACACUGGGGUUAAAUAUAAAGAAUUAAAAUUAGUCUGGAUAAAAGACAUUAACGGAAUGAACCAACUGAAAUCACACCUUUAAAAAAAAAAAAAAAAAAAGGACCUCCCAAAGCAGACUACUCCUACAAACAGCUGUUCUUUAUGCACAAUCGUUCAGAUUAUUCAUAAUGUAAAUCAGCAAAUUGGUACCAGUAUUUUAGACAUCAGCAACGCUUUAGGAAUCAAUUCGUUCGAAAGAGGUUUUUGGUGUAUUAGUAUGCACCUGUUCCAGUUGGAUAAAGAACAACUGAUGAUGAACACCU